AAAUAGAUGUCGUCUUUAACCUUCAUCUCUUUAAGCAAGGCAUCUUAGAGCAAAGAAAAACAGUGUUUAAGCAUGUGUAAGCAUUGAUUAAGCGUUGUGCAAACAUGGUUUAAGCCUGUAUGUAAAAAAUAUAAUCAGUAUGAUGUACAACACUAAAUUGAAACCAUUGGCAUUUUUUGGACCGUGAACAUAUUUUCAUAGAAAUUAUCUAUUGAAAAUGGUCAGAAACAUAUUUUUAUCAGAGACCUUGAGGUCGGUUUGUUUCCGCAAAUGCAUUAUAAAAUGUAAAAGUAAUUGCGCAUUAUGCAUAAUAUGAUUAAUGAAAGUGCAAUUUAAUACCAUUAGUAUUAUAGUAUUAAUAUAUAGUCCGAAUAUACAUGCAGAUUACUACUUCCCAGGAUAACGUUUGUAUUUUCCCCUUAAUCAGUACCUUAUUCAAUUUAUUCUGUAUAUAUGAAUAUCUUGUUUCUUAUUAUAGCCUGCACCAUACGAGAGCUAUAGCUACUCUCUGGCUCUGAGUAAAAUGUUUUUCGUGCCGCAGUGCUUAGGCGUGUGCGCGUGAAUUUCACCAAGUUUUUCACAUGCAACCGUCCUUGAGACUUGAGUCGAAAAUCGUACGCCACGUUUGAUAUCCGGCACAAAAUUGCCAACAAUUCACGUGUGGAAUUCACGCACAGACGGCGAAAUAUAAAGUGCAUGCCAAGCAAUUGCACACGCGAAUAACAUUUUGCUGAUUUGCUCAGGGGAUAUUGUUCUCGUGUGCUACAGGUUAAAACGUGUAUAAUCAGAGCCUGGUGUAUAAUCAGAAUACUGUUGUUAUGUGUAUUACUAUAAAUACUAGCCCGCGUAUAGGGAGAAUUGUCAUAUACGUAAUAUCUAAUUUUAACUUUGGAAGUGACCCAAAAAGCUUAACCAAUGCAUCAAGGUGUCAUGCUAUAAUGUUUUUAUUCAUCAUUUAUAAUCCCACGCAAAUUGGCUCACUAAAUAUAGACGAAACCAACCGGCUAGCAAGUGUUUAUGUGAUAUUGAUUAUUGUGUCCCACCGACACCACUGGCAACACUUAAUGCGUGUAUUGUUUUUGAAGACGACACGCAUCACGCCAUUUUACGAUUGUUUUGCAACAAGCUCAAAAACAUGCCCAAACACGCCAAACAAAACACAUGGGAAUAACUGAUUGAUAUUUGCAGUUAUAGAUCGGUGCUUUCAAAGCAGCCAAACGUUACCACCAGUGAUUUAUUUCUCUUUUCCUUGGGCCGUUCAACACGCUGUUAACAUUGUCUUGGCUUUUUCAAUAUUUUUAGAUAUCGUCGUUUGCUAUUUCCGUCAUGUCGUUUAUAGCCGUAUAGAGCAUGCGUAUUGAAGAGGGAUUUUAACAACUUAGACUUUAUACACAAUGCCAAAGCUGCUGUCCAACAGAACUCGGGACUCAUAAAGGACGAAAAUAACAAAACAUAUAGAGGUAGACGUAGACGACAGUGCCACAGUGACCGGUCGAAGAAAACGUUUCUCCGUUGAAUUGCUUUUGAACUUGGUUUUGCUUAGAGGAAAAAGGAGAUCGAAUUUAUCAAAUUAAAGACCAACGUAGCCAAAAACCGGCGAAAAUUGUACUUUGGUCAAUUGUAAACAUUACCGUCAACGACAACGCACUAAAAUUCAUACCUGCGUAAAGCUGUGAAAGGACUCUAUUGGAGAGCAUAUAUAGACCUCCCUAAGGACAACGAAAGGACUAAAUAUGUGCAAUAUGAAAUUACUUGACAGGAGCUCAGUUCAUCACCAAAUGAUCGACAAUGAUGUCGGCGGUUUCAAUGAUGUAAAUGUAAGCGACAUUGGUCAAACGCUAGCACAACUUGGCGAUAAUUUAAAUGAUGAGGCGCUCAGAAAAUCGAACUACAUUCAUCUUGCCGCUAUUGCAGGAAUUGUUUUGACCUUUGCAACUAUCAUUACUCUCAAUAACAUUGCGUAGUAUGUCGCUGUUUGCCUGGAAACGUUGAAAUUUGCUGGCGAAGUGGACAUGCUUGGUCUGUCUAUGCCGAAGGAAUGGAGAAUGAACUGAUGGCAAAGCGUUGCGAUGCCAUGUACAUAUUUUUGUAAAUAUUCAGAUUUUGCUAGCUGUAUUCGCACAGCAUAAUAUACAUAUGGGUUAUCUUAUAGUAAGGGAUAUAGACUUUGAAUAUGGUAUAUUUUAUAUUAUGUUUUAUAUUGUAUAUCUUUGGCCGAACGGUGUCACCUAUAUAUAAUAUAGGAAGAAAUUUUAGAACUGCGGUGCAGCAUAAUGCAUCUUGUACAAAAAUAUAAGUAUUUUAUAAAUGUAUAUAUAGAACAUAGUCAUAGAGCAUAUAUAUUGUAGUUUUGUUAUACUCAUCUAGUAUUGGGAAACAUAGUUUUAAUAUAACAAAUAAAUAAAAUAAUAUAAAGUGUUUAAAGAAUAUAACUGAAGAAGAGGUUUCGUUUUAAAAUCUACUUUGUCUACGCUACCUUCCUCCGCGUGUCCGCUAUAAUAUUUAUGCAUCAACCGCGUUCAAAAAGCUUUUUGUCCCUCAAAAAUUACUAUCCUAGUCCUACAUUUAAAGUUUUUUCCUUUAAGACAAGGCUUUUCUCGGUAUUAGUAGGAAUUAGACACAUAUAUAGAUAGUGCUACGUUUUUGCUUUGAAGAGUUCCUCCGCGGCCGAAAACCUGCUGUACCGCUGCAUUGACAUUGUCCUUUUGAAUUCACUAAGAGGAUCUUGUUUCAAUCCAAACCAAAAUAUAGCCUAAACACUAUUUUAGGUAAUAAAGAAUCAAUAUCAACCUUUCCAUUCGACUGAAUUGUGUUUUAAAACCCAUAAAAGCUUGCCUAAAGUGAAUGCAUGUUUUGGGAACGGAGCGCGACGCGGCCAGCAUGUCUUCUCAUAGCACUUGUUACAUGUUUGUAUACAAAACUGUUCUAAACACUAAUAUUUUUCAUUCAAUACCAUACUUGGGUCUUUCUAAGCACAGUGUUAUAUGAUCCAGUUUAGGAAUAAGGAAAUGGAUGCAGAUUUACAAGCAUUAAAAGCGAUAGUAUUCAAAGCAAAUUGAGACAGCGCCAUGAAACGACUCCGACAUCUAACAUGUCUGCAACACAUUUGCUGUACUGUUUGUACAAAUUUGCUUUAAACAUUGAUAUUUUACACUCCGUACCAUACUUUGCUCUUUCUAAGCACAAUAUUGCAUAUUUAGUUUAAGACUAAAAGCAUUGGCUGAAGGCUAAAACAGUUUAGGCGAAGCAAAGACGCAAGUCGUCUUCGCACAGCGCUUGCGACCCCGACAUUCUCUUGUGACUUUGUACAAAAUUGUCCUG